rnacentral:lncRNA from 1 species
AGAGCUACGGUGACACUUCGCGUGCGGUGUAGGCGCAUCUUCGCUCUGUUGGCCGUGGCUUUAGUAAGCACACACCUGCCUGCUACUCUGGUUAUCGUGGCGACGGCAGGUCUGGAUUGCCAGACAGGUUUUUCUUUUUACCUCGAGGCUUUCUCUGAAGGGAGUCGGAGCAUUUAAAAGGCGGCCUCAAGGUGGAUUGAGUCGGGGGAGGAUUAGCAGUAUUUGCUUAGGUUGUAAAACCGCGACUUUAUCUAAUAAAUCGCCAUUCAAGGUGCAAAUACAAACUUGGAACAGAGGUGCGUGACAUGUACCCCUUUUGUCCUAAAGUCAAGAAUCAAUAAUGUGACUUAGCCCUAUUAUCUUGCCUCUAAUUAAGCGAUUCUCACUUAUUCUUUCUCUAUUGCUAAUUCUCACGUUACAUUUCCCCUUUUCUGUGUCCACCUUUCUCUUUUGCGCAUUGAUAUAGGAAGUGUUUUGUAAUAGGCUGUAGCUUUUUCUCUUACUGUUAUAAAAACCAGGACAUAUAGCAUUACUACAAAAUGAGAUACUCCGUAAACACUUUAAAAGUGCCAGCUAUUUAAUGACCCAAGAAAAUACUCGUGAUAUAAAAGUUGACUAAGUCAGGAUAUUAGAGUAGUGUAGCGACUAUAGAAGUACAAUAUAGAGCGCAACUAAAAAGUGAAAAUGGUAACUCUGCUGACCGGAUGAAGGAUUUUUUUUUCUGUUUCUUUGCACUUUUCUGUAUUUUCCAAAAUUUCUAUAAUAGGCGUUAUGUUAUUUGUAAAAUUUAAACAAUAUAUACAAUCCAUAUUAUACUGACAUCUUUGAAAUCCAGGCCAGAGAGUAAAUCAUAUCAUUUGAAAACAAAUUACUUUUUUUUAGGCUUAGUCUGCAGUAAUGCCUUAAAGAAGGUAAACUGAGGAAAGAGAAAAUAAAGAGUGCUUGGUCCUCAUAAUUUACCGUUAAGCUGGGCUCUGUGGCUCACGCCUGUAAUCCCAACACUUUGGGAGGCCGAGGCGGGUGGAUCACCUGAGGUCAGGAGUUCGAGACCAGCCUGGCCAACAUGAUGAAAUCCCGUCUUUACCAAAACUACAAAAUUAGCUGGGCGUGGUGGCCGCGCCUGUAAUCCCAGCUACUCGGGAGGCUGAGGCAGGAGAAUCACUUGAACCCGGGAGGCGGAGGUUGCAGUGAGCCAAGAUCCGCCAUUGCACUCCAGCCUGGGCAACAAGAACGAAACUCCAUCUCAAAAAAAAAAAAAAAAAUUUUACAGUUAAAUGUUUUUUUUCAAAAUGACCACAAGUUUCAAAAAUGUGAGCCAAUCACAUGUUUACUAGGCAGAGUUUAGAGUGAUAUAAUACUUGCUGCCUUCUAAUAACCGACUUGCUUGGGUUUGCUCUUACAUGACAUUCAUGCUCAAAUUCUUAGCACUACUGACAUACUUAGGUCUAUAUUUUGUUUUGAUCUGUUAAGUUUACCUUCAACCCCAGGCUCAAAUGGAAAACAAUCUAUCACAGUUAAUGGAGAAGGCUUUGAGUCCUUUUAUUUUGCUAAGUUCUGUUAGUAAAAAUGUAUGCCACAAUAUGGGCAUAUUGCGAAAGUACAUAUAAGGCAGGUUUUUCCUCCCCAUUUCUGCCUAUAUCAUCAUGCCCACUAAAUUUGAUAAUUAUUUAACUGAUCUGCUAUUCCAGCACUCUGUAUAUAUGGUCAUUUUACCUUCAAUUUUUUGUUUUUGUUCUAGUGAUCUGAGUGAUUGUGAUGUAUUUAUCUGCUUCCUUUUUCUUUAUUUUUGUUUGUUCAUAGGAAAAUGAGUUAAUCCCUUGUCUCUUUUUUUAUUAGAAAUUCGAUUUUGACUGAAACAUUUACAGAAUUGAAACCUCCUGAGAUUCUUCUCUAAAACUUAACAUUUUCAGAUGAGGUCCACAUGGAUGAAAUUGCUUUUCCAGAUCUCUUGUCAGUAACCCACUGCUCCCUGACUUCACACCCCACCUCCACUCUAACUGCUUUGCUAGUUAAUCCCCACUCAUCCUUCAAGAUUCAGAUGUAAAUGAAUUCCUCAAGGUCAGAGACUGUUUUUAUUCAUUUCUACAUCUCCAACACCUGGCAAAGUGCCUCGGCCAUAAAAGAUAAUCUGCCUCUGAAACCUUCCGUGGGCACAGAAAUUUCUGCAAGGAAAGCAUCAGCAACCAGAAUAAUUUGAUUGCAUUUGGGUUUAAACAGAGGACUUAAUCAUAGCAUGGACAGAAAAGGCUCACCAUCUAUCUAAAUGACUCUGAUUGCACCAUCAUCCUCAUUGUUCUUGUGGAGUCUCGCUCUGUCGCCCAGGCUGGGGUGGAGUGACGCGAUCUCGGCUCACCGCAAGCUCCGCCUCCCGGGUUCACGCCAUUCUCCUGUCUCAGCCUCCCCAGUAGCUGGGACUACAGGCGUCCACCACCACGCCCGGCUAAUUUUUUGUACUUUUAGUAGAGACGGGUUUCACCGUGUCAGCCAGGAUGGUCUCGAUCUCCUGACCUCGUGAUCUGCCCGCCUCAGCCUCCC